UCCCAUUCUGUGAUCAGGACAGAAGACAGACACCUCACCAUGGAGUAUGUGCUUGGCUUGGUUUUCCUUGUUGCUUUUUUAAAAGGUGUCCAGUGUGACGUGAAGCUGGUGGAGACUGGGGGAGACCUGGUGAAGCCUGGGGGGUCCCUGAGACUCACCUGUGUGGCCUCUGGAUUCACUUUCAGUGGCUGCGACAUGAACUGGGUCCUCCAGGCUCCAGGAAAGGGGCUGCAGUGGGUCGCAUAUAUUAGAUAUGACGGAAGGAGCACAAGCUAUGCAGACUCCGUGAAGGGCCGAUUCACCAUCUCCAGAGACAACGCCAAGAAUACGCUGUAUCUGCAGAUGAACCUGAGGGCCGAAGACAUGGCCACAUAUUACGGUGCAAGAGACUGGGUGAGGGGACCUCGCUGGGAGCCCACACACAAACCUCCCUGUUCUCAAGGUCGUCCCUCAUGGCGCUACAUCUCUUCUGAGGUGGUAAUUCCCAAGAAGGAGUUGCACCAUGGCAAGGGCGUUCAGAUGCCUGGCUGGCUGUCCUAUAGCCUGCAUUUUGGGGGCAAGAGCCAUGUUAUCCACAUAGGCACAAGAAACUCUUUUGGUCCAGACAGUUGCUGA